UGAGAACGACAUCGCUGUGGGCGGCCACGACUCGACUAUAACAGCUCCGAUGUAGAAUACGGAUAUUUCCAUCACGCGAGAUUUUCAUGUGCUGUACACUGACUGUCUGACUUGUACAAUCCUUCGUCACCACUAUGCUGCCCAUGGAUACGGCUGCAGCUACUGGCUCCGCAUAGACACAGGCUUCCAGGACAACGACGGCUGCGAGUUCAUCUACGACGAAAACUGCGGCACGUCACCAAAAUACUACUUCUACGACAACACUUGCCCCAUGUAGACGAAGAAUUAUAUAGGCAACCUUGCAUCUGGAAAUGUACAACCAGGAACAAUUUAAAUUCCAACAAGUUAGGGCUAAGAAAACACGUUAUUUCGUUUCUGCAGUCGCCGGUACGCUUAUUGUAGUCAGUA